rnacentral:rRNA from 1 species
CCUACGGGUGGCAGCAGUGAGGAAUAUUGGUCAAUGGGCGAGAGCCUGAACCAGCCAAGUCGCGUGAGGGAGUACUGCCCUAUGGGUUGUAAACCUCUUUUGUCGGGGAGCAAAAGCCGGACGUGUAGCGUUAUCGAGAGUACCUGAAGAAAAAGCAUCGGCUAACUCCGUGCCAGCAGCCGCGGUAAUACGGAGGAUGCGAGCGUUAUCCGGAUUUAUUGGGUUUAAAGGGUGCGUAGGCGGAAUGCCAAGUCAGCGGUAAAAUCGCGGGGCUCAACCUCGCUCCGCCGUUGAAACUGGCGUUCUUGAGUGGGCGAGAGGUAUGCGGAAUGCGUGGUGUAGCGGUGAAAUGCAUAGAUAUCACGCAGAACUCCGAUUGCGAAGGCAGCAUACCGGCGCCCAACUGACGCUGAAGCACGAAAGCGUGGGUAUCGAACAGGAUUAGAUACCCGGGUAGUC